rnacentral:piRNA from 1 species
UGUGAUGUCUAUACAGCAUGUCUGUC